CUCUUAUCAAGAGUGGCAGAGGGACUGGCCCGAUGACGCCCAGCAACCGUUCUUACUUGAGAAAUGGUGCUAAAUCCUGCAAAGUAUGAUGUCUUCAUACUUUGAAAGAUGAGAG
rnacentral:ncRNA from 2 species